rnacentral:rRNA from 1 species
AGUGAACGCUAGCGGAAGGCAUAAUACAUGCAAGUCGAACGGAUGUAGCAAUACAUUAGUGGCGCACGGGUGCGUAACGCGUAUGCAACCUACCUUCAUCAGGGGGAUAACUACCCGAAAGGGUGGCUAACACCGCAUAAUACUAUUGAGUGGCAUCACUUGAUAUUUAAAUCUGAGGAGGAUGAAGAUGGGCAUGCGUCUGAUUAGCUAGUUGGUGUGGUAACGGCGCACCAAGGCGACGAUCAGUAGGGGAACUGAGAGGUUGGUCCCCCACACGAGGACUGAGAUACGGGCCAGACUCCAACGGGAGGCAGCAGUAGGGAAUAUUGGUCAAUGGUGGGAACACUGAACCAGCCAUUCCGCGUGCAGGAAGAAGGGUCUCUGACUUGUAAACUGCUUUAGCAAGGGAAGAAAAAGCUCAUGCGUGAGAAAUUGACGGUACCUUGAGAAUAAGCACCGGCUAACUACGUGCCAGCAGCCGCGGUAAAAC